CAGAAUCAGCUCAGAGAUAGCCCUGGACUUGCGUGUGAGGGGAUUUCUAGGUUUGAUCAUUGAGCUGGGACGACCCACCCUAAAUGUGAGUUGUACCAUUCCAUGAGUUGAAAUCCUGAGCUGAGUCAAAGGAAAGGAAGCUGAGUACCAGUACUGAAUGUGACUAGCUGCCUCUCACUCUGGCUGCUGUGAUGGAAGGUAUAAAACAUUAAGGAACUACUUAAGAAGAGGUCAUGAAGGUGAAUUCCUGGAUAUUAUAAACAGACUUUUGAGAGCUGGGCGUGCUGGUACAUAUCUAAAAUCUUAACAUCUAGGAAGUAGAGGCAGGAGGAACAGGAGUUCAAGGCCAACCUCAACUACACAGGGAAUUCAAAGCCAGCAUGAGGCCUUGAAUUUGUGUCAAAAACCAAAAC
rnacentral:lncRNA from 1 species